AGUGAUUAAAUGAUGACUUAUCUUUUUUCCCCAGCAGAUCGACUCUGUUGACCACUGAUUGCAUUUUAAGCCAAUUUUGUCUGACUCACUCCUU